rnacentral:rRNA from 1 species
GCGGCGAACGGGUGAGUAACACGUGGGCAACCUGCCCUCAGCUCUGGGAUAACCCCGGGAAACCGGGGCUAAUACCGGAUACGACCUCCGCGGGCAUCUGCGGAGGUGGAAAGGUUUUCCGGCUGAGGAUGGGCCCGCGGCCUAUCAGCUAGUUGGUGGGGUGAUGGCCCACCAAGGCGACGACGGGUAGCCGGCCUGAGAGGGCGACCGGCCACACUGGGACUGAGACACGGCCCAGACUCCUACGGGAGGCAGCAGUGGGGAAUAUUGCGCAAUGGGCGAAAGCCUGACGCAGCGACGCCGCGUGAGGGACGAAGGCCUUCGGGUUGUAAACCUCUUUCAGCAGGGACGAAGCGAGAGUGACGGUACCUGCAGAAGAAGCACCGGCCAACUACGUGCCAGCAGCCGCGGCAAUACGUAGGGUGCAAGCGUUGUCCGGAAUUAUUGGGCGUAAAGAGCUCGUAGGCGGUCUGUUGCGUCGGCUGUGAAAACCCGGGGCUCAACCCCGGGCCUGCAGCCGAUACGGGCAGACUAGAGUUCGGCAGGGGAGACUGGAAUUCCUGGUGUAGCGGUGAAAUGCGCAGAUAUCAGGAGGAACACCGGUGGCGAAGGCGGGUCUCUGGGCCGAAACUGACGCUGAGGAGCGAAAGC